CAGCAUCGCGGUGGCGGAGCGUCGUUUGCGACGCCCAACACACAAAACAAGCGGUGAGUGCUUUGGGGUGGGGUGACUGCGUACCUUUUGUAUAAUGGGUCAGCGACUUAUAUUCUGUAGCAAGGUUAACCGUAUAGGGGAGCCGAAGGGAAACCGAGUCUUAACUGGGCGUUAAGUUGCAGGGUAUAGACCCGAAACCCGGUGAUCUAGCCAUGGGCAGGUUGAAGGUUGGGUAACACUAACUGGAGGACCGAACCGACUAAUGUUGAAAAAUUAGCGGAUGACUUGUGGCUGGGGGUGAAAGGCCAAUCAAACCGGGAGAUAGCUGGUUCUCCCCGAAAGCUAUUUAGGUAGCGCCUCGUGAACUCAUCUUCGGGGGUAGAGCACUGUUUCGGCUAGGGGGUCAUCCCGACUUACCAACCCGAUGCAAACUGCGAAUACCGAAGAAUGUUAUCACGGGAGACACACGGCGGGUGCUAACGUCCGUCGUGAAGAGGGAAACAACCCAGACCGCCAGCUAAGGUCCCAAAGUCACAGUUAAGUGGGAAACGAUGUGGGAAGGCUCAGACAGCCAGGAUGUUGGCUUAGAAGCAGCCAUCAUUUAAAGAAAGCGUAAUAGCUCACUGGUCGAGUCGGCCUGCGCGGAAGAUGUAACGGGGCUAAACUGUGCACCGAAGCUGCGGCAGCGACGCUUAUGCGUUGUUGGGUAGGGGAGCGUUCUGUAAGCCUGCGAAGGUGUCCUGUGAGGGAUGCUGGAGGUAUCAGAAGUGCGAAUGCUGACAUAAGUAACGAUAA
rnacentral:rRNA from 2 species